CCAGUCUGAGCAUCGCUGUGUUAUUGUGACUGUUGGAAACAGAAGAAUGGUGACUUCAACCACUGUUGUUGCACCCACCUUUCCUCUGACAACCCCAAAUCCUCCACCGAGAACAUCUCAUAUCACUGUUCUGAAGCUAAAGUUCUCGACUGCGAUGCCACUGAAGGACAAUCAUGACAGAAUCAUAAAAGCG